rnacentral:tRNA from 1 species
GGAAAUGUGCCCGAACACCUAAAGGAUUACUUUGAUAGAGUACAACACAGGGGUUAAAACCCCCUCAUUUCCU